rnacentral:rRNA from 1 species
AAUUUAAAGUCUAAUCUGCCCUCAGAUUUUAUAUUAACGGGCGGCGGUUUAUUGAAAGAACAAAGGUAGCAUAAUCAUUAGGGCUUUUAAAUGGAAACUUGAAUGAAAGAUUUGAUGAAAUAUAAGCUGUCUCUAAUUUAUUUAUAAAAUUUAAUAUUUUAGUUAAAAAGCUAAAAUAAAUUUAAAAGACGAGAAGACCCUAUAGAGUUUUAUAAUUUAAUUAAUUAAAAUAAUUUAUUAAUUUUAAUAUUAAAAUUAAUUAAAUUAUUUUAUUGGGGUGAUAAAAAAAUUUAAUUAACUUUUUGUAAAAAUUAACAUAAAUAAGUGAUUGAGUGAUCCAUUAAUAAUAAUGAUUAUAAGAUAAAAUUACCUUAGGGAUAACAGCGUAAUGUUUUUUUUUAGUACAAAUAAAAAAAAAAGAUUGCGACCUCGAUGUUGGAUUAAAAUAAAAAUUAAAUGCAAAAGUUUAAAGUUUUGAUCUGUUCGAUCAUUAAAAUCUUACAUG